CUGAAUUUGUAGAAAACCGCUUUGACUCUCUUGGGCCCCUUCAUAAAUAAGCCCUGGAACUAAAUAAAAGUCUAGUGAAUACAGACUUUAAAGCCGGAAAAUGUACUGACCUUGGGAAUAGCAAGAGAAAGUACUUCCUUUCCCUCUCCCGACACCAAGUGAUCCCAUCCCUGUGUUUAGGCCUAGUUCAACCUUCUAAGCUGUGCGUCGCUUCCAUGCUUUGGAGCAUUUUACAUAUAUCUACCCACUUCAUCCUCAUGACAAUACCAUUAAGUAUGCACGAUCGUCAACUCCAUUCUACAAAUGAAGAAACCGGCACAGUGAAGGUAAGUAGUUUU
rnacentral:lncRNA from 1 species